ACAAUACCAGGGAUUACUGUGUAGCAGAGCCAGUGGCAUGGUCGAGUAAGCUGACUGUACGAAGUCAGACGGUCUGGUUGUUUGGAGGUGCAUGAAGCAAACUGGUGCGACCAAUUGGAGUUGCAUGCACAAGCAGACUGGUAUAGACGUCUGGAAGGUGCAUGAAGCAAACUGGUGCGGCCAAUUGGAGUUGCAUGCACAAGCAGACUGGUAUAGACGUCUGAAAGGUGCAGAAGCGGACUGGCCUAGUUGGCUUGUGGUAUACGACGUACGUACAACGGUUGGUAGAAGACGGUGGUCGAGAGGUGGUGCGGAGCAAUAUAUCAGACUGGUGUCAACGUCAACGGGGCAGUAUAUUUCUGCCAAACGGAUCCACGGUAAAAUUGGUACCGGACCUGGAAAACCUACCAGCAGAAGGCAUCCUGACAAGAGAAGCUGCUGGGAAGAACAUCGACAGGAACCGGUUUCGUUACAAUUCUUUGGAACCGUAUCGCAAGAAGUAGUUAGUGACCACAGAAGUGCAACAGUGAGCACCUGAUCAUCAGAUGUUAUUGUGUACAUCCAAUCAGGUACAGGAUACCUGAGUUUAACUCUGGCAAGAGAAGUUUAUCCCAGUCGCCAAAAAACCCAACAGACCAGUCACCCGCAGUAAAAGACCAAACCAGUACAUCAACUACUCUGCCAGGAUCGAAGCAUACAAGAACAGCUUCUAUGCUCGUAUCAUUUAGCAAUGGAAUCAACUACAAAUUAGCCACCAUCAUCAAAGAGUCAACAUCAGCCAAGUCUUUCAACACCAAAGUUUGGAGCUACAUGCAGACGACCACUCAGCGCACCUGUGCAUAGGCGGGCUAGAGCGUCGAUGUAGCUCAACUUCAUCUAAAAUUAGAUGAUAUCUGCAACCCACUGUAUGUUUAUGAUAAAGUCAAAACAUCCAUAUAUGGGACUAUGAUGAAAGUUGCUUGGCCUAUAUGCUCUCCAAAUCGUGUAGAAGUAAAAACAGACAAGAAGAUGAUACUCACCAUCAAAUCCAAACUAAAAUCACAGUGAAGAUGUUUCCAGGGCAAUAAAGAACACUAAACAUUGAUAAUCGUUGAUAUAAGUUGAUAAUAUUGGUCGCAAAUGGAUAAAAGAAUUUUUAAAAGUCGCAGUCAUGUGCGUAGAGUAAUAAAACCAUACAAUGUGUAUAUGAGAAAAGAAUUCACUUAGGGGAGCCUUCCAAAGUUGCGACUGUGCCCGGACGCGUCGGGGCGCCAUGAAUAGAAAGGUUGCGCCUCAAGAGACGCAUUUAGGCGCAAAGGGGCGCAAAGGGGCGCAAAAGUCACCCUCACCUGAUUCUUGCAUAUGAAAAGAAAUUGUUGGAAGAUUAUCUCUCCCGCCUUUGUUCUCGCUCGUGAUGCGCGAUGCACAACAGUACAGCUUAAACUUGCUCUACAGAAAGUAUUUGUCAGCCAAAGCCUGCCUUUCCCUCUUCCUGUUCUCGUACUGAUAAACAUCCCAUUGUUUGUAAAAACUUGAUGUAUUCUUCUCGCUUCGCGAUCUAUUCUUCUCGCGCCGUUUUGCGUCGCAACGGGCGGGGUAUUAUCUUUCCUAUUAUUGUGGAAGCUUUGCGAUGUACAUUGCUACAGCACAGCCUGAACUUGUCUGGUGGGAGCGUUUUUGUUUUGGGGGGCAAUCAACACACUCGUUCAUCUUGAUCAGAAUAAAUUAUGAUAUUUUUUUCUGUUGUUGGUUUAAUACACCUCCUUUUAAAAUUUGUGACGACUGUAUGGAAUGUGAAAUAAAGAUGACUAUGUACGAUGAAUGGUUGUUUAAUUGCGAGCUUGAUUGUCCCCAGCAAGAAAAAGUAAAAGACAAAUGAGUGAAUGAAUACAUGUAUGCGGUUAUAGUCGGAAAAUUGAUUACUGUUUGGGACGCUUGUGUAUGUUUGCAAUUUGAAUGAUUAUCAAUAUACUUGUAUAAUUUCCACGUCGCGAUAUUAUUCUAGCGUCGUAAUGAAUUAAUGAAUUUAAUAUCAUUAUUCACGCUACUUGUAGCACAUUGCCACAGCCUGAGCUUGUCAGUCAAAUCCUUUUUUUCUUCUCCUCUCUUGACUUGGUUCUAAUAAACAACCCAUAUCGUAUUAAAA